ensembl:lncRNA
CCCCCCCCCCCCCACUAAACAAACAUAGAUGUGUCCGGUCUGUGUGAGGAGGAAGUUGUCUCUCAGGAAAAAAAAGAAAAUGUCUUCUUUUAUCAAGUGCAUGAAAAGAGAAGGAGCACUUAGUGAGUUCACACAUCACCAGGGAUAAUUUAUGUUUUAUGACAAAGGAAGAAGUCUUUUCUCUGCCGCUGGACAAAAGCAUCAAAAUUAAUAUCGCUUGAGGCCGAAUGCUGAUGGGGAAGUCCUUUCUUAGAAAGACAAGUGCACAGUGGGCACAAAGACACCUUGCAGUCCGGAUAAUGACCAUUGCAGGCCUCCAGCAGCAGCAGCAGCAGCAGCAGAGGACAAACCUCCACUCCCUAUCCUUCGAAUUGCCUUUUUAAACAGCUACAUCUGGAUAUUAUCUGGACGGUAACAGCUGUAAUAAACAUUGACAAACUCAUCAGAAACUCCCCAAUUAACUGUGAUCGUCCACGAGAGCGCCUUUUGGUCACUGAAAAUAUUUGUUUUGUUCCCGUCCUCUCG